rnacentral:rRNA from 1 species
UACGUAGGUGGCAAGCGUUAUCCGGAUUUAUUGGGUGUAAAGGGCGUGUAGGCGGGAGCGCAAGUCAGAUGUGAAAACUCAGGGCUCAACCCUGAGCCUGCAUUUGAAACUGUGUUUCUUGAGUGCUGGAGAGGCAAUCGGAAUUCCGUGUGUAGCGGUGGAAUGCGUAGAUAUACGGAGGAACACCAGUGGCGAAGGCGGAUUGCUGGACAGUAACUGACGCUGAGGCGCGAAAGCGUGGGGAGCAAACAGG